rnacentral:rRNA from 1 species
AUCAACGCUGGCGGCGUGCGUAACACAUGCAAGUCGAACGAGAAAGCGGGGGCAACUCCGUUAGUAAAGUGGCAGACGGGUGAGUAACACGUGAACAAUCUACCUUCGAGCGGGGAAUAACCCCGCGAAAGCGGGGCUAAUACCUCAUGACAUCCCUGGAUCGCAUGGCCUGGGGAUCAAAGGCUUCGGUCGCUCGGAGAGGAGUUCGCGCCUGAUUAGCUAGUUGGUGAGGUAACGGCCCACCAAGGCAACGAUCAGUAGCCGGCCUGAGAGGGCGUACGGCCACACUGGAACUGAGACACGGUCCAGACUCCUACGGGAGGCAGCAGUGGGGAAUUUUGCGCAAUGGGCGAAAGCCUGACGCAGCAACGCCGCGUGGAGGAUGAAGGCCUUCGGGUCGUAAACUCCUGUCAGUGGGGACGAAUGCCGCGCAAGCGGUUUGACUGUACCCGCUGAGGAAGCCACGGCUAACUCCGUGCCAGCAGCCGCGGUAAUACGGAGGUGGCAAGCGUUGUUCGGAAUUAUUGGGCGUAAAGGGCGCGUAGGCGGCUUUGCAAGUCAGAUGUGAAAGCCCCGGGCUUAACUCGGGAAUUGCAUCUGAAACUGCUUAGCUUGAGUCCUGGAGGGGGUAGUGGAAUUCCCAGUGUAGCGGUGAAAUGCGUAGAUAUUGGGAGGAACACCUGCGGCGAAGGCGGCUACCUGGACAGUGACUGACGCUGAGGCGCGAAAGCUAGGGGAGCGAACGGGAUUAGAUACCCCGGUAGUCCUAGCCGUAAACGAUGGGCACUUGGUGUUGGGGGUAUUGAGUCCCCCGGUGCCGGAGUUAACACGUUAAGUGCCCCGCCUGGGGAGUACGGUCGCAAGACUGAA